UGGGGAAUCUUCCGCAAUGGACGAAAGUCUGACGGAGCAACGCCGCGUGAGUGAAGAAGGUUUUAGGAUCGUAAAGCUCUGUUGUUUAGGACGAAUGUGCCUUAUGCGAAUAGUAUGAGGUAAUGACGGUACUAAACGAGAAAGCCACGGCUAACUACGUGCCAGCAGCCGCGGUAAUACGUAGGUGGCAAGCGUUGUCCGGAAUUAUUGGGCGUAAAGGGAGCGCAGGUGGGAAAAUAAGUCUGUUUUAAAAGUGCGGGGCUCAACCCCGUGAUGGGAUGGAAACUGUUUUUCUUGAGUGCAGGAGAGGAAAGUGGAAUUCCUAGUGUAGCGGUGAAAUGCGUAGAUAUUAGGAGGAACACCAGUGGCGAAGGCGACUUUCUGGACUGUAACUGACACUGAGGCUCGAAAGCCAGGGUAGCGAACGGG
rnacentral:rRNA from 2 species